GGGAGAGUGGCGGAAGGGUGAGUAACACGUGGGAAUCUACCUCCUCGCAGGGAACAACCACUCGAAAGAGAGGCUAAUACCCAAAAGGGUCAGAAAUGAUCAGAGUCGAAAGGCGUGAGGAGAGGAGCCCGCGGCCCAUCAGCUAGUUGGUGAGGUAAUGGCUUACCAAGGCUACGACGGGUAGGGGAUCUGAGAGGAUGUCCCCCACACUGGAACUGAAACACGGUCCAGACGCCUACGGGUGGCAGCAGUGAGGAAUAUUGGACAAUGGGCGGAAGCCCGAUCCAGCAACGCCGCGUGGAGGAUGAAGGCCUUCGGGUCGUAAACUUCUUUAGAGGGAGACGAGAAAGGACGGUAUCCCUAGAAUAAGCGACGGCAAACUACGUGCCAGCAGCCGCGGUAACACGUAGGUCGCGAGCGUUAUCCGGAUUUACUGGGCGUAAAGCGCUUGUAGGCGGUUCUGUAAGUCGGGCGUGAAAUCUCCGGGCUUAACCCGGAGUGGCCGUUCGAUACUGCAGGGCUUGAGGAUGCUAGAGGGUGGUGGAAUUCCAGGUGUAGUGGUGAAAUGCGUAGAUAUCUGGAGGAACAUCCGUGGCGAAGGCGGCCACCUGGGGCAUUCCUGACGCUGAGAAGCGACAGCUAGGGGAUCAAACGGGAUUAGAAACCCCGGUAGUCCUAGCCGUAAACGAUGGACGCUAGGUGUUGGCAGAUCUAACCCUGUCUGCGCCGAAGCAAACGCGUUAAGCGUCCCGCCUGGGAACUACGGUCGCAAGAUUAAAACUCAAAGGAAUUGACGGGGACCCGCACAAGCAGCGGAGCGUGUGGUUUAAUUCGAUCUACACGAAGAACCUUACCCAGGUUUGACAUACUAGUGGUAGUGAACUGAAAGGGGAACGACCCGCAAGGGAGCUAGUACAGGUGUUGCAUGGCUGUCGUCAGCUCGUGUCGUGAGAUGUUGGUUUAAGUACCCUAACGAGCGCAACCCUUAUUGCCAGUUACACGUAUCUGGCGAGACUGCCGGCCACAAGCCGGAGGAAGGCGAGGAUGACGUCAAGUCAGCAUGGCCUUUAUAUCUGGGGCUACACACACGCUACAAUGGGCGUAACAAUGGGAUGCCAAGCCGUGAGGCGGAGCCAAUCCCCCAAAUACGUCCUCAGUUCAGAUUGCAGGCUGCAACCCGCCUGCAUGAAGUCGGAGUUGCUAGUAAACGCGCGUCAGCUAUAGUGCGUUGGAUACGUUCCCGGGUCUUGUACACACCGCCCGUCACACUAUGGGAGCUGGUAAUACCUGAAGCCGGUAGCCUAACCGCAAGGAAGGCGCC
rnacentral:rRNA from 1 species